UUUCACCUACGGGGCGCAGCAGUGGGGAAUUUUGCGCAAUGGGGGAAACCCUGACGCAGCAACGCCGCGUGCGGGACGAAGGCCUUCGGUAUGUAAACCGCUUUCAGCAGGGACGAAUUCCGACGGUACCUGCAGAAGAAGCCCCGGCUAACUACGUGCCAGCAGCCGCGGUAAUACGUAGGGGGCGAGCGUUAUCCGGAUUCAUUGGGCGUAAAGCGCGCGUAGGCGGCGCGUCAAGCCGGACCUCUA
rnacentral:rRNA from 1 species